GCCUUCAUAGUCUAGUGGUUAGCACACUCGACGCGUAACCGAGAGGUCCUUGGUUCGAUUCCCGGCGAAGGCG
rnacentral:tRNA from 1 species